AUACUUACCUGGACGGGGUCAAUCGGUGAUCAUGUGGGCCGAUGGCCUAGGGUGGCUGCCUUCAUUGCACUUAGAGGGUGGGUCCCCCUAGCAUCUCCCCAAGUGGGAGAAUGCACGUCAUAAUUUGUGGUAGGGGGGUACGCGUUCGCGCGGCCCCCAC
rnacentral:snRNA from 1 species